AGAGUUUGAUCCUGGCUCAGGAUGAACGCUAGCGGCAGGCUUAAUACAUGCAAGUCGUGGGGCAGCAUGACUGUAGCAAUACAGUUGAUGGCGACCGGCAAACGGGUGCGGAACACGUACACAACCUUCCUUUAAGUGGGGAAUAGCCCGGGGAAACCCGGAUUAAUACCCCGUAAUAUAAUGAAGUGGCAUCACUUUAUUAUUAUAGCUCCGGCGCUUGAAGAUGGGUGUGCGACUGAUUAGGCAGUUGGCGGGGUAACGGCCCACCAAACCUACGAUCAGUAACUGGUGUGAGAGCACGACCAGUCACACGGGCACUGAGACACGGGCCCGACUCCUACGGGAGGCAGCAGUAAGGAAUAUUGGUCAAUGGACGCAAGUCUGAACCAGCCAUGCCGCGUGGAGGAUGAAGGUCCUCUGGAUUGUAAACUUCUCUUAUCUGGGAAGAAAUGCAUUUUUUCUAAAAUGCUUGACGGUACCAGGUGAAUAAGCACCGGCUAACUCCGUGCCAGCAGCCGCGGUAAUACGGAGGGUGCAAGCGUUAUCCGGAUUCACUGGGUUUAAAGGGUGCGUAGGUGGGUUGGUAAGUCAGUGGUGAAAUCUCCAGGCUUAACUUGGAAACAGCCAUUGAUACUAUCAAUCUUGAAUACCGUGGAGGUCAGCGGAAUAUGUCAUGUAGCGGUGAAAUGCUUAGAUAUGACAUAGAACACCAAUUGCGAAGGCAGCUGGCUACACGAAUAUUGACACUGAUGCACGAAAGCGUGGGGAUCAAACAGGAUUAGAUACCCUCGUAGUCC
rnacentral:rRNA from 1 species